rnacentral:lncRNA from 10 species
GGCAGGUUGUUCCAGCAAAGCAUGACAGUGUGAAGAUGCUGUGAAGUUGGCUCGGACAGCCGGGUGGAAGCCAGGACUUCCAGAAUUCCAACUGGCCCCAGGGGAAGAACUGGGUUUGGGGGAGAUGUUGAUUUGCAUGUGAUUUGCACAAGACUGAAACUCUGCAAGUGACGGUGGCACCAACGAGGUCUUUCUCACCUCGGUAUCGCUGGCACUUACGUGCUGGGGGCUCAAUACACGUUCCUGGAAGGAACAGAGGGAAGGAGGAGCUUUUCAUUUCUCUGCUAUCUUGACUUUCUCAACACUUCAACGCGUUGAUCUCAUUCGAUUCUUACAAGUGGAGGGAGAAAGGAUGGUUUGUCAUCACCCUUACUUUAUGGAUAAGGAAACCAAGAUAGCAUGGCUUGGCAAUUUAUCCAGAGAAGCAAAAUGACCGACAACAACGCACGGUGAAACGCAGUGUUGGGAAUCGCAGAUGGAAGCCGAGCAUUUCCUCUACCUGUGGGACCUGCACUUUUCCUAAUGCUCUUUCCCAUGUGUUCUCUGCAGGUCCUCAGGCAAAUCCUGUGGAGGAGAAAGGGCAAAGUCAUCCCAGUGUCUCGUUUUUGAGGGAACUUGUGGCUGCCAUGUGGACAGUACCAGGGGAUAUGUCUCAGCAGCCGGCCGGGAACUCUUGGCUGCAGACAGUUGCACAGCUCGUUAUCUUGAUGCCAAAACAAGAACCAAGGACCCUUUUCCACUAGGAGAACUCUCGGCAAGCAGGACUUGAGACGAGCGGAGUCCAGCUCCCCUGGAGGGAGGCAGGGAGUUUUGCUCCCCUUCAUCCUCACUUCAGUACUAAUGGAGCAGCUUUAAUCUAGAAGAUGGCCAGCCUCCUGACAGAGGGCAAAGAUGAUGAGACAAAGCACAUCCUGUCUUGUAAAGCUUUCAAGUUCAAGUGAAACACAUCACUUAUGCACACAUUUCAUUGGCCAAAAUAUGUCACAUGGUUACAC